rnacentral:rRNA from 1 species
GAUGAACGCUGGCGGCGUGCCUAAUACAUGCAAGUCGAGCGAACGGACGAGAAGCUUGCUUCUCUGAUGUUAGCGGCGGACGGGUGAGUAACACGUGGAUAACCUACCUAUAAGACUGGGAUAACUUCGGGAAACCGGAGCUAAUACCGGAUAAUAUUUUGAACCGCAUGGUUCAAAAGUGAAAGACGGUCUUGCUGUCACUUAUAGAUGGAUCCGCGCUGCAUUAGCUAGUUGGUAAGGUAACGGCUUACCAAGGCAACGAUGCAUAGCCGACCUGAGAGGGUGAUCGGCCACACUGGAACUGAGACACGGUCCAGACUCCUACGGGAGGCAGCAGUAGGGAAUCUUCCGCAAUGGGCGAAAGCCUGACGGAGCAACGCCGCGUGAGUGAUGAAGGUCUUCGGAUCGUAAAACUCUGUUAUUAGGGAAGAACAUAUGUGUAAGUAACUGUGCACAUCUUGACGGUACCUAAUCAGAAAGCCACGGCUAACUACGUGCCAGCAGCCGCGGUAAUACGUAGGUGGCAAGCGUUAUCCGGGAUUAUUGGGCGUAAAGCGCGCGUAGGCGGUUUUUUAGUCUGAUGUGAAAGCCCACGGCUCAAUCGUGGAGGGUCAUUGGAAACUGGAAAACUUGAGUGCAGAAGAGGAAAGUGGAAUUCCAUGUGUAGCGGUGAAAUGCGCAGAGAUAUGGAGGAACACCAGUGGCGAAGGCGACUUUCUGGUCUGUAACUGACGCUGAUGUGCGAAAGCGUGGGGAUCAAACAGGAUUAGAUACCCUGGUAGUCCACGCCGUAAACGAUGAGUGCUAAGUGUUAGGGGGUUUCCGCCCCUUAGUGCUGCAGCUAACGCAUUAAGCACUCCGCCUGGGGAGUACGACCGCAAGGUUGAAACUCAAAGGAAUUGACGGGGACCCGCACAAGCGGUGGAGCAUGUGGUUUAAUUCGAAGCAACGCGAAGAACCUUACCAAAUCUUGACAUCCUUUGACAACUCUAGAGAUAGAGCCUUCCCCUUCGGGGGACAAAGUGACAGGUGGUGCAUGGUUGUCGUCAGCUCGUGUCGUGAGAUGUUGGGUUAAGUCCCGCAACGAGCGCAACCCUUAAGCUUAGUUGCCAUCAUUAAGUUGGGCACUCUAAGUUGACUGCCGGUGACAAACCGGAGGAAGGUGGGGAUGACGUCAAAUCAUCAUGCCCCUUAUGAUUUGGGCUACACACGUGCUACAAUGGACAAUACAAAGGGCAGCGAAACCGCGAGGUCAAGCAAAUCCCAUAAAGUUGUUCUCAGUUCGGAUUGUAGUCUGCAACUCGACUACAUGAAGCUGGAAUCGCUAGUAAUCGUAGAUCAGCAUGCUACGGUGAAUACGUUCCCGGGUCU